AUGGAGAUUGCCUACCCCUACGGGGAGCUCACGAGGAAGCACGGCUUCAUGACAGCCGAGCCGUUUGACGCCAAGACCGGCAUCAUGCCCGGCCCGAAGCGCGCGCCGGAGAUGGAGAUCCUUCGGCGGCGCUUUCAAUCCGAGCUCGUCGCCGUCCGUGGCCUCCUCCACAAGGCGGCCGCCGUGCUAGUUCCCGCCUCGUCCCCGUCGGCUCCCCGCGUGCGCAGUCGUCCAAGGUUCUUGGCCGAGGAGCCGCUGGCCAAGAAGAGGAAGGCGCCCCCUUCCAUUCCCGUGAUCAACCGCAAGAAGGCGGCAACGAAGACGAAGAUGACGGCCUCUGAGAGGGAGAUGCUCGCGGAAGAACUGGAGCUGUUCGUUGCGGAAAUCCCCGAUCACGUCGUCGAGCUCUUGAAGAAGGCAAGAAGCAGAGCUGCGCCACCCGCCCCGACGAAAUCGAGAUCGAUAUCCACGCGUUGGACGACGCCGCCGUCGUCGAGUUGCAAGAGCGGGUUGACAAGUUCGCUCGAGAGAGGAGGUCGAAUCCGUUGCCGCAAGAACGGCACCAGGACGGCCCGAAGGUGA
rnacentral:rRNA from 1 species